rnacentral:rRNA from 1 species
UACGAAGGGGGCUAGCGUUGCUCGGAAUCACUGGGCGUAAAGGGCGCGUAGGCAGCUGUUCAAGUCGGGGGUGAAAGCCUGUGGCUCAACCACAGAAUGGCCUUCGAUACUGGACGGCUCGAGACCGGAAGAGGUCAGUGGAACUGCGAGUGUAGAGGUGAAAUUCGUAGAUAUUCGCAAGAACACCGGUGGCGAAGGCGGCAUCCUGGACCGACACUGACGCUGAGGAGCGAAAGCCAGGGGAGCAAACGGG